rnacentral:rRNA from 1 species
CUACGGGGGGCUCCAGUGGGGAAUAUUGGAUAAUGGGCGCAAGCCUGAUCCAGCAAUGCCGCGUGUGUGAAGAAGGCCUGCGGGCUGUAAAGCACUUUCAGUAGGGAAGAAAAGCGAGAGGUUAAUACCCUUGAGCCGUGACGUUACCUACAGAAGAAGCACCGGCUAACUCCGUGCCAGCAGCCGCGGUAAUACGGAGGGUGCGGCGGUAAUCGGAAUUACUGGGCGUAAAGCGCGCGUAGGUGGUUUGGUAAGUCGGAUGUGAAAGCCCCGGGCUUAACCUGGGAAUUGCAUUCGAUACUGCUUGACUUGAGUGGGGUAGAGGGUAGCGGAAUUCCUGGUGUAGCGGUGUAAUGCGUAGAUAUCAGGAGGAACAUCAGUGGCGAAGGCGGCUAUCUGGACCAACACUGACACUGAGGUGCGAAAGCGUGGGUAGCAAACAGGAUUAAUACCCCCGUAGUC